rnacentral:rRNA from 1 species
GAUGAACGCUGGCGGCGUGCCUAAUACAUGCAAGUCGAGCGAACGGACGAGAAGCUUGCUUUUCUGAUGUUAGCGGCGGACGGGGGAGUAACACGUGGAUAACCUACCUAUAAGACUGGGAUAACUUCGGGAAACCGGAGCUAAUACCGGAUAAUAUUUUGAACCGCAUGGUUCAAAAGUGAAAGACGGUCUUUCUGUCACUUAUAGAUGGAUCCGCGCUGCAUUAGCUAGUUGGUAAGGUAACGGCUUACCAAGGCAACGAUGCAUAGCCGACCUGAGAGGGUGAUCGGCCACACUGUAACUGAGACACGGUCCAGACUCCUACGGGAGGCAGCAGUAGGGAAUAUUACGCAAUGGGCGAAAGCCUGCCGGAGCAACGCCGCGUGGGGGAUGAAGGUCUUCGGAUCGUAAAAAUCUGUUAUUAGGGAAGAACAUAUGUGUAAGUAACUGUGCACAUCUUGACGGUACCUAAUCAGAAAGCCACGGCUAACUACGUG